rnacentral:rRNA from 1 species
UACAGAGGGUGCAAGCGUUAAUCGGAUUUACUGGGCGUAAAGCGUGCGUAGGCGGUUCAUUAAGUCGGUUGUGAAAUCCCUGGGCUCAACCCAGGAACUGCGUCCGAUACUGGUUGGCUUGAAUCCGGGAGAGGGACGUGGAAUUCCUGGUGUAGCGGUGAAAUGCGCAGAUAUCAGGAGGAACACCGGUGGCGAAGGCGGAUCUCUGGGCCAUUACUGACGCUGAGGAGCGAAAGCGUGGGGAGCGAACAGG